rnacentral:rRNA from 1 species
AGGAACACGUGAGAAACCUGCCUUUCAUUCUGGGAUAACACCGGGAAACCGGCGCUAAUACCGGAUACUCCAUCUUGGCGGCAUCGCCGAGCUGGGAAAAAAUUUUGAUGAAAGAUGGUCUCGCGGCCUAUUAGCUAGUUGGUGGGGUAAAAGCCUACCAAGGCGACGAUAGGUAUCCGGUCUGAGAGGAUGAUCGGACACACUGGAACUGAGACACGGUCCAGACUCC